CGCGAUUGGCGACCCUGACCCCGAAUCGACCGAGGACUCCGACUCGGAGGUCCCCGGUCGAUUCGGGGUCGGGGCCGCCAAUCGGC
rnacentral:pre_miRNA from 1 species